CGAAAGCCUGACGGAGCAACGCCGCGUGAGGGAUGAAGGCCUCUGGGCUGUAAACCUCUUUUCUCAAGGAAGAAGAUCUGACGGUACUUGAGGAAUAAGCCACGGCUAAUUCCGUGCCAGCAGCCGCGGUAAUACGGGAGUGGCAAGCGUUAUCCGGAAUUAUUGGGCGUAAAGCGUCCGCAGGCGGCCUUGAAAGUCUGUCGUUAAAGCGUGGAGCUUAACUCCAUUUCAGCGAUGGAAACUACAAGGCUUGAGUGUGGUAGGGGCAGAGGGAAUUCCCGGUGUAGCGGUGAAAUGCGUAGAUAUCGGGAAGAACACCAGUGGCGAAGGCGCUCUGCUGGGCCAUCACUGACGCUCAUGGACGAAAGCCAGGGGAGCG
rnacentral:rRNA from 1 species